GGUAUCGAAGAAAACAACAAUGACCUGACUUCUCCAUUCUUCUUCCUGCUCGAGGCGGCGCUGUCGUCCUCCUCGUCGCCGUGCGUGACGCCGGCAGAUCCCCACCUAGUAUCGUCACACAUUUCUCUAGUCCACAUUGAUGGAGGGAUGAAGAUCAAAGUUACAUUGCUUACAAGAGAACACCCAAUGCCUCCCCUCCUGCAGGCAUUCAUCACAGACAUAGGCCUUGGCCAUGUCCAAUUCGAGCUCAUGACUAUGUCGUGGAUCGUUCACUUGAACUUUACCAUCCAUACCAAGUAUCAGGAGUGUUGGGAUGCCCUUGACAGCGAAGAUUCUUGUUAGCUCUUGCCUGGCAGUGUCAGAAUAGGGGAUGGCAAGCCAAGGCAUAGCACUUAGGCUUGCUUGGAAUUCCUCUUUGCUGCGGUCUAUGGAAAUGAAGAUAACCUCAAAAUUUCCAGGUCUCAGUAUCUUCAGCUCAUUGUACACCUCUAUCAGCUUUUUCGUGAAUGAGCGGCAAGGUGGGCACCAGUGUGCCCCAAAGUACAGUCCAACAGUCUUCCCAGUAAGCCAAGAAGCUCCUGAAGCUUACCUCCUUGUCUCCUGGCAUCAUCCAAGGCUUCUAGCUCCCCUUUCCUAUUUGCACUGAAGGGGUAUGCAUCUGCUCCGUACUCCUCAACCAGCUCCACUACAUCAUCUUGGAAUCCCAGUCCACCAGAUGAUGUUACUGACAAAGGAAUCAGUGCGGGGAUAUGCUCAAUGCCAAAGUGACUGCACAACUUUUGCCUUAGGCUAGUGUUGAAUGGCAAAGCGAGCCAUGGCAUGCUUUUGAAGUGAUCCAAGAAGCUUGCCUCGUCAUGGUCAAGUGAUAUGAAGAUAAUUUCGAUAUUCUUGCCAGUAUUCCGGAGCAUUGUGUAGAUUUGGAUUAGCUUUGGGGUGAAGUUCCUGCAUGGCCUGCACCAGUGAGCCGAGAAGAAGAGGCAGGUCAUCUUCUCUUCAAUGGAGGACAGAGAUACUUCCUGCUUUUUCAUGAAAGAUAUCAAAUUCCUUCAGUCAGACAUAUUUGGCUAAAGAAGAAUUAUUUUUCUUUUGAGAACAAGCACGGCAGAAUUUAACGUAUUUUUAGACAACAGUUUAGUUUCAAAAUAGAACAGUGAGUGAUAUUAUUUUGGAAGAAUCAUGCAGGUACGUAUGUUUGCAAUUUAAUCUCUGGCAAAUAAUUCCUUUUAUACAUGAUGAGGAAGUAAUGACCACAAUGACUUUCUCCUGGAGAACAGCUAUAUUGAUGUCUGUUUACUACGGUAAUAGCUUGCUUGCA